rnacentral:rRNA from 1 species
CAGUAGCCGCGGUAAUACGUAGGGUCCGAGCGUUGUCCGGAAUUAUUGGGCGUAAAGAGCUCGUAGGCGGUCUGUCGCGUCUGCCGUGAAAUCCUCAGGCUCAACCUGAGGCGUGCGGUGGGUACGGGCAGGCUAGAGUGCGGUAGGGGAGAAUGGAACUCCUGGUGUAGCGGUGGAAUGCGCAGAUAUCAGGAAGAACACCGAUGGCGAAGGCAGUUCUCUGGGCCGUAACUGACGCUGAGGAGCGAAAGCGUGGGGAGCGAACAGGAUUAGAUACCCCGGUAGUCCCUGUCUCUUAUAC